rnacentral:rRNA from 1 species
UACGUAGGGUGCGAGCGUUGUCCGGAAUUAUUGGGCGUAAAGAGCUCGUAGGCGGUCUGUCGCGUCGAUCGUGAAAACUUGGGGCUUAACCCUGAGCUUGCGGUCGAUACGGGCAUGACUGGAGUUCGGCAGGGGAGACUGGAAUUCCUGGUGUAGCGGUGAAAUGCGCAGAUAUCAGGAGGAACACCGGUGGCGAAGGCGGUCUCUGGGCCGUACUGACAGCUGAGGAGCGAAAGCGUGGGGAGCGAACAGG